rnacentral:rRNA from 1 species
AGAGUUUGAUCCUGGCUCAGGAUGAACGCUAGCGGCUGGCCUAAUACAUGCAAGUCGAACGGUGAUAGCAAUAUCAUAGUGGCGCACGGGUGCGUAACACGUAUGCAACCUACCUUAUACUGAGGGAUAGCCUUUCGAAAGGGAGAUUAAUACCUCAUAACACAUUGAACUGGCAUCAGUUUAUUGUUAAAGAUUUAUUGGUAUAAGAUGGGCAUGCGUCCAAUUAGUUAGUUGGCGAGGUAACGGCUCACCAAGACGAUGAUUGGUAGGGGAACUGAGAGGUUAAUCCCCCACACUGGCACUGAGAUACGGGCCAGACUCCUACGGGAGGCAGCAGUAGGGAAUAUUGGGCAAUGGAGGCAACUCUGACCCAGCCAUGCCGCGUGCAGGAAGAAGGCGUUAUGCGUUGUAAACUGCUUUUAUGUAGGAAGAAAUAGACCUUGCGAGGUAAGUUGACGGUACUAUAUGAAUAAGCACCGGCUAACUCCGUGCCAGCAGCCGCGGUAAUACGGAGGGUGCAAGCGUUGUCCGGAUUUAUUGGGUUUAAAGGGUGCGUAGGCGGUUUAUUAAGUCAGUGGUGAAAGACGGUCGCUCAACGAUUGCAGUGCCAUUGAUACUGGUAG